AGUAACCUGGAGAUUGUCAGUGGGGCCUGGGACAAAGGGACCAGAGACAAAGUCUCACUCUGUCACCCAGGCUGCAGUGCAGUGGCACGAUCUCGGCUCACUACAACCUCCACCUCCCAGGUUUAAGCGAUUCUCCUGCCUCAGCCUCCUGAGUAGCUGGGAUUACAGAGUGAAGCCAAAGGCACAGGAAGCACAGCUGGAAUGGGGACAUAGGAACGCGGGGGCUCCCAUGAGUUGACCUGACAGCUGAGAGAUGGCAACCUAGACCUUGGGAACUGACCUAAAAAACACUCAAGAGGACUGAGUCUGGAAAAUGUGAGAAGAAAGUUAAUUUUGGCAAAUUUCUGAGAAAUGAAAAGACGUAUCAACAAGAAAUUUCAUUUCUAAGAGGUCAAAAUAUGCUAUGUUUUCGUGAAUCCAUGAUUCGACCUGAAGAAGAAGGAAAGAACUGGACAUCCAGAUGAGUACAUUGAUAUCGAAGAAAAAAAGAGGAGGGAGCACACAGGUGAGCAGGUGCAGGAACCAGCCGGACAAUUUACCGCCAGCAGGAAUGAACUCCAAGC
rnacentral:lncRNA from 1 species